UAGGGAAUAUUGGGCAAUGGAUGCAAGUCUGACCCAGCCAUGCCGCGUGGAGGAAGAAGGUCCUCUGGAUUGUAAACUCCUUUUGUCGGGGAAGAAUAGGCAGGAUGCGUCCUGUUGUGACGGUACCCGAUGAAUAAGCCACGGCUAACUACGUGCCAGCAGCCGCGGUAAUACGUAGGUGGCAAGCGUUGUCCGGAUUUAUUGGGUUUAAAGGGUGCGUAGGUGGUUUAUUAAGUCAGUGGUGAAAGCUGGUUGCUCAACAAUCAAGUUGCCAUUGAUACUGAUAGACUUGAGAGAAGUGGAGGUUCAUGGAAUGGAUGGUGUAGCGGUGAAAUGCAUAGAUAUCAUCCAGAACGUCGAUUGCGAAGGCAGUGGGCUGUACUUUUUCUGACACUGAGGCACGAAAGCGUGGGGAUCAAACAGG
rnacentral:rRNA from 2 species